rnacentral:rRNA from 1 species
GGGAAUCUGCCCUUGGGUUCGGAAUAACUCGCCGAAAGGCGUGCUAAUACCGGAUGAUGACGUAAGUCCAAAGAUUUAUCGCCCAAGGAUGAGCCCGCGUAGGAUUAGCUAGUUGGUAAGGUAAAAGCUUACCAAGGCGACGAUCCUUAGCUGGUCUGAGAGGAUGAUCAGCCACACUGGGACUGAGACACGGCCCAGACUCCUACGGGAGGCAGCAGUGGGGAAUAUUGGACAAUGGGCGAAAGCCUGAUCCAGCAAUGCCGCGUGAGUGAUGAAGGCCUUAGGGUUGUAAAGCUCUUUUACCCGGGAUGAUAAUGACAGUACCGGGAGAAUAAGCUCCGGCUAACUCCGUGCCAGCAGCCGCGGUAAUACGGAGGGAGCUAGCGUUGUUCGGAAUUACUGGGCGUAAAGCGCACGUAGGCGGCUUUGUAAGUUAGAGGUGAAAGCCUGGAGCUCAACUCCAGAAUUGCCUUUAAGACUGCAUCGCUUGAAUCCAGGAGAGGUGAGUGGAAUUCCGAGU